UCGGGAAUAUUGGACAAUGGGCGCAAGCCUGAUCCAGCCAUGCCGCGUGGAUGAAGAAGGCCCUAGGGUUGUAAAGUCCUUUCGACGGAGACGAUAAUGACGGUAUCCGUAGAAGAAGCCCCGGCUAAUUUCGUGCCAGCAGCCGCGGUAAUACGAAAGGGGCUAGCGUUGUUCGGAAUUACUGGGCGUAAAGCGCACGUAGGCGGUCGUGUAAGAUGGGGGUGAAAUCCCGGAGCUCAACUCCGGAACUGCCUUCAUGACUGCAUGGCUAGAGGAUGCGAGAGGUUGGCGGAAUUCCGAGUGUAGAGGUGAAAUUCGUAGAUAUUCGGAAGAACACCAGUGGCGAAGGCGGCCAACUGGCGCAUUUCUGACGCUGAGGUGCGAAAGCGUGGGGAGCAAACAGGAUUAGAUACCCCCGUAGUCCCUGAGCGGGCUGGCAAGGCGCAU
rnacentral:rRNA from 1 species